ensembl:lncRNA JDP2-AS1 JDP2 antisense RNA 1
ACCCCCCGCGCACCGCCGCCCGGCUUGUGCCCGCCAGGCAGCAGCAGCCGCAGCCCUAGGAGAGAGACGCGAGAGGCCGGAGCCGGGGGAAAAGUCAAAAGCCCCUUCACGCACAGCCUGUGUUAACCAUGUACCUCAGUCCCGGCGCUUCCCCCACAAACUGAGAGCGACAGGGAGAAUUUCCGCACAGUUUCAUCCUUGGACACUUCAGGACUGAGCGGUGCAGUGAAAUCUUUCUGGAUAAAAGAAGUGGGCUAAUGGAAGGAGAGACAGACCAAGUCCCAAUGACAUUGCCUGACCAUUUUCACCUUCGCCAUCAGCAGUCUCCCUCACAGCAUUGGUGUGGGCAGGUAAGAAGAAAGCAAGGCCCUGAAAGAAUAUACAUUGGAAAAUGAGCAGUAAUUUGAUACUCUUGUGGAAGAGCAUGACUCUUCGCCCCAGAAAGGCCAAUGACACCUUUACUACAGCGUAAAGAUCAAAGCCAGGGACUGUGAAACUGCCUCAUGAUGUUUCUCCCAUGAGACCUGUGUCUGGAUGUUUAUAUGGAACAAAACAUGGAACAGAGGCAAUAGUACUUGAUGUGUCUUCAGCUGGGGCUUUGGAUAAACUAAACUGAUCUAUAUUCAGGGACUAAUAAUUAGGGUGUGUGGUUAGAGCGCGUCCUCUCUAGGGCCUGUUUUGGACUGUGGCUGGGCCACCAGCAGUCCUACUGGGCCUUUGCUUCCCCCACAAAUUAAAUAUGUUACAGGGGUGGCACCAAGGGGUGACUUGGGAGGCCUUUAGUCCCCUCUACCUCUCUAUAAUCUCCAUUAGAUCUUCUCUGUUAUUUGCUAUUGAUGCUUUUCAGUUUCAUAUAGGACGCUAUAAGAACACAGCUUCAAGGCCUCCCUUCCGCCACAUACUCCCUACUAGGCCCCUCUACGUAGUCACUGCCUCUGGGAGUGGCUAGAGGGAGAAGCCAUAAACUGGGUCCUUUAUGCAGACAUUGGAUGCUGGAUGGAGCUGAUUUACCACUGGCUCUUAGGGACAGACAAGUGACUCAGCCUAAGGCAGUUUGAAUUUAAGUUUCCUAUCACAACUAGAAAAGUCCUGAUUAACACGCCCAGCCCUAGUCAAUGGGCUGAUUGAGAGAUCGUCACAUAUCCCAAGAAAAUCUCACAAGACUGGGAAUUUUGUGGAUCUGCUGGAAAGAGAAGCUGCCAGAAGCCCCACGUGAAAGGGAACUACUGAGAGUGAAGCUAAUGGGAGGAAAAGUAGAGCCAAGCCACGGAGGGAAAGACAGAUCAAGUUCCAAUGACAUUGCCUGAGUUCCUGAAUUCAGUCAUGCCUGACAUCAUCCUGACCUCUGCAGGUUUUAGCUAUAGGAAUCAGUAAAUUAUGUCUUACCCAAGGCAGUUUGAAUUUGGGUUUCCUAUUACUUGCAAUUAGAAAAGUCCUAAUUAAUACAGUGGGUUUUGCAUCUCUGA